AGCUUUGCAUAGUGGCAGGAUCGUAGCCAAUGAGGUUUAUCCGAGGCACAAUUAAUGCUAAUUGAAAACAUUUCCCAAUACCCCGCCAUGACGACUUGAAAUAUAUAUAUAAAAUAUAAAAAUAU
rnacentral:snRNA from 1 species